rnacentral:rRNA from 1 species
UGAGGAACAUGACCUUCGGCGGGGGAUAGCCGGCCCAACGGCCGGGUAAUACCGCGUACGACCUUUUGGGGACAUCCCCGAUUGGUGAAAGCAGCAAUGCGCCGAAAGAGUGCCUCGCGGCCUAUCAGCUAGUUGGUGGGGUAAUGGCUCACCAAGGCGACGACGGGUAGCUGGUCUGAGAGGAUGGCCAGCCACAUUGGGACUGAGACACGGCCCAGACUCCGUACGGGAGCAGCAGG